CCCUAUGGGGUGCAGCAGGUGGAAACAGCAAAGCGGUUAUCACCGUAGAAGUUUAGCAGAAACAACAAUGUUCCGAUUUAAAAGGAUACUUGGUAACAAUUUGCAUGCUAUUUUAUUUGAGAAUCAAAUUGUUGAAGCAGCAAUAAAAUGCAAUAUUAUUAACAAAAUGACUGCAUUGGGGUUGCCUAUAAGCUAUGUUGUUGGGUAAAGUCAUAAUGUACCCGCAAAGCGGGUAGCUUGACGGUUGUUAGCAGCCUCAAAGGCUGCCAUUGUUAAUAUUUCUCAGCUCAAAAAUUAUCACAGACCUCAGCUUCUUUAUCGUGACACUCUUGAUUCCUGAUGUACUCUCUAACCUUUAACGCCAAUUCUGGUUAAGCCGCUAACUUUAACAGCAUAGCGAUCUCCUUUUUUGACAGUUCAAUUGACGGCUUAUUGGAAUGAUGAGUAUAUGCAAUAACCGCAGAUACCAUACUGACAAAACCAUUGGCGGGAGAGC
rnacentral:rRNA from 1 species